rnacentral:rRNA from 1 species
UACGUAGGGUGCGAGCGUUGUCCGGAUUUAUUGGGCGUAAAGGGCUCGUAGGCGGCGUGUCGCGUCGGGAGUGAAAGCCCGGGGCUUAACCCCGGUUCUGCUUCCGGUACGGGCAUGCUGGAGUGUGGCAGGGGAGACUGGAAUUCCUGGUGUAGCGGUGGAAUGCGCAGAUAUCAGGAGGAACACCGGUGGCGAAGGCGGGUCUCUGGGCCAAUACUGACGCUGAGGAGCGAAAGCGUGGGGAGCGAACAGG